rnacentral:rRNA from 1 species
CCUACGGGUGGCUGCAGUGAGGAAUAUUGGUCAAUGGGCGCGAGCCUGAACCAGCCAAGUCGCGUGAGGGAGGACGGCCCUACGGGUUGUAAACCUCUUUUGCCGGGGAGCAACGGGCGCCACGUGUGGCGUCACUGAGAGUACCCGGAGAAAAAGCAUCGGCUAACUCCGUGCCAGCAGCCGCGGUAAUACGGAGGAUGCGAGCGUUAUCCGGAUUUAUUGGGUUUAAAGGGUGCGUAGGCGGGCUGUUAAGUCAGCGGUAAAAGCCCGGGGCUCAACCCCGGCGAGCCGUUGAAACUGGCUGUCUUGAGAUGUCGAGAGGUAUGCGGAAUGCGCAGUGUAGCGGUGAAAUGCUUAGAUAUUGCGCAGAACUCCGAUUGCGAAGGCAGCAUACCGGCGGCGAUCUGACGCUGAGGCACGAAAGCGUGGGUAUCGAACAGGAUUAGAUACCCCAGUAGUC